rnacentral:rRNA from 1 species
GAUGAACGCUGGCGGCGUGCCUAAUACAUGCAAGUAGAACGCUGAAGGAAGGAGCUUGCUCUUUCCGGAUGAGUUGCGAACGGGUGAGUAACGCGUAGGUAACCUGCCUGGUAGCGGGGGAUAACUAUUGGAAACGAUAGCCAAUACCGCAUAACAGUAGAUGUUGCAUGAUAUCUACUUAAAAGGUGCAAUUGCACCACUACCAGAUGGACCUGCGUUGUAUUAGCUAGUUGGUGAGGUAACGGCUCACCAAGGCGACGAUACAUAGCCGACCUGAGAGGGUGAUCGGCCACACUGGGACUGAGACACGGCCCAGACUCCUACGGGAGGCAGCAGUAGGGAAUCUUCGGCAAUGGACGGAAGUCUGGCCGAGCAACGCCGCGGGAGUGAAGAAGGUUGUCGGAUCGUAAAGCUCUGUUGUAAGAGAAGAACGAGUGUGAGAGUGGAAAGUUCACACUGUGACGGUAUCUUACCAGAAAGGGACGGCUAACUACGUG